rnacentral:lncRNA from 1 species
AAAGAAGAAGGUUUCAAGACUUCACAGAAGCAAAUAUACCCUAGUACUAAUUUUUGGAAGAGGCAACUUCUUUAAGUUUUUCAUUCCCAAAACACUGCAAUUCUUAUGUCAAAGUUCAAAACCCUUUCAAUUCAAAGUUCUGAAAGAAAAAAAUUAUGUUUCAAAGAACUUUCAGCUUUAAAAUCUAGACCUUUUUUUUAAUGUUUUUU